UGAAAUCCCAAGGCUUAACCUUGGAACUGCCACUAAAGCUUUUUGACUAGAGUAUGAUAGAGGAAAGUGGAAUUUCUAGUGUAGAGGUGAAAUUCGUAGAUAUUAGAAAGAACACCGAUUGCGAAGGCAACUUUCUGGAUCAUUACUGACACUGAGGAGCGAAAGCAUGGGUAGCGAAGAGGAUUAGAUACCCUCGUAGUCCAUGCCGUAAACGAUGUGUGCUAGACGUUGGAAACUUAGUUUUCAGUGUCGCAGCAAAAGCGUUAAGCACACCGCCUGGGGAGUACGACCGCAAGGUUAAAACUCAAAUGAAUUGACGGGGACCCGCACAAGUAGUGGAGCAUGUGGUUUAAUUCGAAGAUACGCGCAGAACCUUACCAACACUUGACAUGUUCGUCGCGACUCUAAGAGAUUAGAGUCUUCGGUUCGGCCGGACGAAACACAGGUGCUGCAUGGCUGUCGUCAGCUCGUGUCGUGAGAUGUUGGGUUAAGUCCCGCAACGAGCGCAACCCUUACUUUUAGUUGCUACCAUUUAGUUGGGCACUCUAAAAGAAUUGCCAGUGAUAAGCUGGAGGAAGGUGGGGAUGACGUCAAGUCCUCAUGGCCCUUACGUGUUGGGCUACACACGUGCUACAAUGGUACUUACAGUGAGAAGCGAAGAGGCGACUCUAAGCUAAUCCCAAAAAUGUACCUCAGUUCGGAUUGUACUCUGCAACUCGAGUACAUGAAGCUGGAAUUACUAGUAAUCGCGGAUCAGCGCGCCGCGGUGAAUACGUUCCCGGGUCUUGUACACACCGCCCGUCACACCAUGGAAGUUGGUUAC
rnacentral:rRNA from 1 species